rnacentral:lncRNA from 13 species
GCUGGUCUUGAACUACUGAGGUCAAGUGAUCUGCCUGCUUGAGCCUCCUAAAGUGCUGGGAUUCCAGGCGUGAGCCACCAUGCCUGCUCCACAGAUUCUUUUUUUCAGUAGAGAUUGUUAGAAUUCAUCCCUUGGUCCAGUCUCCUAUAUAAAUUUCUCUAACAAUUCAUUGGCAAUGAUAUAUGAUCAGAUACAUCAGUAUUACACCAAUGCUUCUGGAAAGUACUUAGGGCAAUUUUUGAAGAUUUUGGGGACAAAGGUUUAAUUUUUUGCACUGACUUAGGUCAGAUGAUGUGACUUAAGAUCUACCAGAUGAGGGAGAUUUUGUCCCAUGGAUCUGAAAAUCAGGCUUAUCUACUUCUAGGGUGACCUAAUCUAGGGACCAGUAGAACAUUCCCUUCAGAAUAUCACAUUCUGAAACGGAGAAUAUUUUAUGUCCUUGCGCUAUGACCGAACACUGUUUUGGUCUUGUGUGAAGUGUGAUUUCCUUAAUGUGACCUGCUCUUUUGAAUUUGUUUACAGGAGAUCGAAAAGAUCACGAUGAAGAACAGAAAGGCAGAGACAGCAAAAAUAAACUUCUUAUGAGUCAAGUGGCCUACUACCUGGGCUGCCGGCUGAAGACGGAAGUCCCUGGCUAUCUGUGUUCUGCCCCAAACAUCAGCACAGUGGCAUCUGGCAAGCCUCCUUCCAGAGAAAACACAGAGGUGAACGUUGCAGAAGGCAUUGAGAAAUCCUGCUCCCAGCAGGAAGAAAACAAAGCAAAUUUCAGAGCCAGCAAAAGUAGACUUCUUCUGAGUCAGGUGGCCUACUUCCUGAACUACCAGCUGAAGAUCUACAGUAAGUUCUAUAGGUUCACCACCACGAAACUGAUGAAUGAUGUCCUGUGUUGUCUUGAGAAACUAACCGGUUUCUUCAUCAAAAUUAAUUUCGUCCUCCUCAUACUUGCAGAAAAUAGCAAUGGUUAUUUUAACAUUUUAUUAAAGAUGGAAGACAGAGGCCAAAGUAUUUAGCAACUUUUCCACCUCUGCAGUAAGGUGGGUGUGGGACUGGGGUUACAAUCCCAGCUAUUGAUCUCUGACACAGGCACAGAACCACCUGUUUUUCUCAGCCAGUGGCUAAAUCCAGGUUCACAGGAAUCCUCUCUGUACCAUAUAAGAUCCUGCAGACAAGUAGCAUCUAGUCUGUUGGUCUAAAUGUCUGA